CCCAAUUCAGCUCGUACAAACUAAAGGAAAAGUCUUCUGGCGGCUAGUCAAUACAUAUCGUUUGAAUUAAUCAAGAGUAUAAACUUAGUUACCUAUUAUUACAACGUCGGCAUUGCUAGGAACAUCGAUGUUCUUUGUCUCGUUUUCUUUAAAUGUAGCGACUGUUCGAUUAUUUCCGAGACCCCAUUUAAGUAACUGAAGUGAUGAAAAGACAUAUUGAAAUAUGUACGGUUUUUAUCUUUUUACAAAAAUAAAUAAAAUCUUCGUAA